AGAACCCGGCCGCAGGCCCCGCCCCAGAGCGGCCCGCGGUGCGCGCGCUCUCGCUAGGAGUCCCGCACGGAAGAUGCGGGCGGGAGGGUGACGCGCGCCCCAGGCCGGAGGCUGGCCUUGUGGCCUCCCCUUGGGGGCGGUGUGCAGGUAGCUGGAGAGUCAAGGAGUCCAUCCCUCCUGCUUCCGGCAGACCCCCCCGCCCACUCUGACGGAAAAGUUGUGUCCGUAGGCUGGCCUCGGGAAGUCUCUCCUCAGGUUUCCCUUAUUCCCUCGCGCCUCGGCCUUGACUGGAGGGAGCCGGCAGGGCGUCUGGAGGGGAGAGACGCAGGAGCUGAGCCGUGCCCCCGGGUGGUAGAUGGCAGAGGACAGUCCAACCCACGCCGCCGACUCCCGCGUUCCCCCGGCGCUUCAGGCCCCUCCGUGAGGGAAACCUAGCUGUGGACGGUGGGAUCAACUGAUUUUUGGAAACAGCCUAAGGUCUACCCUGAGAAUCGCUGCUGUAAUGUACCACUCACUGAAGAGAAUGUGUUAAAAAUGUCCUCAUUUGUACCCUGGGGCUCCUGACCCCCACAAAUCCUGAUGGAUGAAGGGAAGUGCUUCCCACCCAACAAGUCCCUGAGGCCUGAGCCAGAGUCAGAUCCUGUACUGCAGCCACUCUUGGAUUGCUGGAUCACUUGCGCCU